GCGGCCGCCGCGCCCGAGCACAUGGCGUCCAUCUUACUGAGGAGCUGCCGCGGCCGGGCGCCCGCCCGCCUCCCGCCGCCGCCUCGGUACACCGUCCCGCGGGGUAGUCCAGGGGAUCCUGCUCAUCUCAGCUGUGCCAGCACCCUGGGGUUGAGGAACUGCCUGAAUGGAUGUUGAAUUUGUCAAGCAACUUUUUAGCAUUUAAAUUUCAUACUAAAACAUAAAUGCUGGCCGGGCACGGUGGCUCACACCUGUAAUCCCAACACUUUUGGAGGCUGAGUCGGGAAGAUCACGAGGUCAAGAGUUCAAGACCAGCCUAG
rnacentral:lncRNA from 10 species